rnacentral:rRNA from 1 species
GACGAACCGAGCAAACGUUAUUCGGAAUCACUGGGCUUAAAGGGCGCGUAGGCGGUCUCCGUAAGUCUGCGGUGAAAUCCUCCAGCUCAACUGGAGAACGGCCGUGGAUACUGCGAGUCUCGAGGGAGGUAGGGGCGUGCGGAAUUCCAGGUGUAGGCGGUGAAAUGCGUAGAUAUCUGGAGGAACACCGGUGGCGAAGGCAGCCCCCUGGGCCUAACACUGACGCUCCAUGCACGAAAGCGUGGGAGCAAACAGG